rnacentral:rRNA from 1 species
CCUACGGGGGGCAGCAGUGGGGAAUAUUGGGCAAUGGGCGCAAGCCUGACCCAGCAACGCCGCGUGAAGGAAGAAGGCUUUCGGGUUGUAAACUUCUUUUGUCAGGGACGAAGCAAGUGACGGUACCUGACGAAUAAGCCACGGCUAACUAUGUGCCAGCAGCCGCGGUAAUACGUAGGUGGCAAGCGUUAUCCGGAUUUACUGGGGGUAAAGGGCGUGUAGGCGGGAGCGCAAGUCAGAUGUGAAAACUCAGGGCUCAACCCUGAGCCUGCAUUUGAAACUGUGUUUCUUGAGUGCUGGAGAGGCAAUCGGAAUUCCGUGUGUAGCGGUGAAAUGCGUAGAUAUACGGAGGAACACCAGUGGCGAAGGCGGAUUGCUGGACAGUAACUGACGCUGAGGCGCGAAAGCGUGGGGAGCAAACAGGAUUAGAUACCCCUGUAGUC